GAUGAACGCUCGCUGCAGGCUUAACACAUGCAAGUCGAGGGGAAACGACAUCGAAAGCUUGCUUUUGAUGGGCGUCGACCGGCGCACGGGUGAGUAACGCGUAUCCAACCUGCCCAUCACUUGGGAAUAACCUUGCGAAAGUAAGACUAAUACCCAAUGAUAUCCCACGAAGGCAUCGGAAUGGGAUUAAAGAUUUAUCGGUGAUGGAUGGGGAUGCGUCUGAUUAGCUUGUUGGCGGGGUAACGGCCCACCAAGGCAACGAUCAGUAGGGGUUCUGAGAGGAAGGUCCCCCACAUUGGAACUGAGACACGGUCCAAACUCCUACGGGAGGCAGCAGUGAGGAAUAUUGGUCAAUGGGCGAGAGCCUGAACCAGCCAAGUAGCGUGCAGGAAGACGGCCCUAUGGGUUGUAAACUGCUUUUAUAAGGGAAUAAAGUGGGUCACGUGUGACUUUUUGCAUGUACCUUAUGAAUAAGGACCGGCUAAUUCCGUG
rnacentral:rRNA from 1 species